GUAGGGUAUUGGCUUACCGUGGCAGUGACGGUUAACGGGGGAUUAGGGUUCGAUUCCGGAGAGGGAGCCUGAGAAACGGCUACCACAUCUAAGGAAGGCAGCAGGCGCGCAAAUUACCCAAUCCUAACAGCACAAGGGAGGUAGUGACAAGAAAUAACAAUACAAGGCAAUUAAAAUGUUUUGUAAUUGGAAUGAUAGAAAUUUAAACACUUUCUAAAGUAUCAAUUGGAGGGCAAGUCUGGUGCCAGCAGCCGCGGUAAUUCCAGCUUCAAUAGCGUAUAUUAAAGUUGUUGCAGUUAAAAAGCUCGUAGUUGGAUUUCUGUUAAAAAUAACUGGUCUGCUUUUAAUAAAAGUGGUACCUUGGUGUGUUUUUAGCAUUAAUGUCUUAUGAAGUGUUUUUUACUUUAUUGUUAAAAGCAAUAUUCAGGAUUUUUACUUUGAGAAAAUUAGAGUGUUUCAAGCAGACUAACGUUUUGAAUACUGCAGCAUGGAAUAAUAAAAUAGGAUUUUGGUUCUACAUUAUUGGUUUUAAGAACUAAAUUAAUGAUUAAUAGGGACGGUUGGGGCAUUUGUAUUUGACU
rnacentral:rRNA from 1 species